rnacentral:rRNA from 1 species
UACGGAGGGUGCAAGCGUUGUUCGGAAUUAUUGGGCGUAAAGAGCGUGUAGGCGGCCUAGUAAGUCAGAUGUGAAAUCCCUUGGCUUAACCAAGGAAGGGCAUUUGAAACUGCUUGGCUUGAGUACGGGAGGGGGAAGUGGAAUUCCCGGUGUAGAGGUGAAAUUCGUAGAUAUCGGGAGGAACAUCAGUGGCGAAGGCGGCUUCCUGGAUCGAUACUGACGCUGAGACGCGAAAGCGUGGGGAGCAAACAGG